UACGGAGGGAGCUAGCGUUGUUCGGAAUUACUGGGCGUAAAGCGCACGUAGGCGGCUAUUCAAGUCAGGGGUGAAAUCCCGGAGCUUAACUCCGGAACUGCCUCUGAAACUAGAUAGCUAGAAUCUUGGAGAGGUCAGUGGAAUUCCGAGUGUAGAGGUGAAAUUCGUAGAUAUUCGGAAGAACACCAGUGGCGAAGGCGACUGACUGGACAAGUAUUGACGCUGAGGUGCGAAAGCGUGGGGAGCAAACAGG
rnacentral:rRNA from 1 species